rnacentral:lncRNA from 10 species
GUUUUUGGCUUCUUGUUCCUUUGCUCCACCCGUCCCUGUGUGCUGAGGCACAACAGUCCACUGGAGUGGGAGUUUCCAAAUCAGAUGUGUCAGCUUUUCCUAACAACUCGCAGAGUGAUUAAAGAAUUUUAAAGCAAGUAAUUUCACUGUGACUCCCCUAGGUUAUGAGCAGCCCAAGAGGAGGAACAAUGGUAGCUCCAGAAGUUCUAACAGGAAGAGGAAAGGGUCAGAGAUUUUAUUAAGAAAAGAAUUUUGGAGGAGUAAUCAGCGGAUUUGACUUGAAACAAUAGCUGCAGAAUAUGUUUAAUUUUGAAGAUCUACACUUUUAUUUCAGAGAAGUAUGGAGGGGCACAAUGAGUAAAUACAAAUGUUUGGUCCACUAUCUUGGAUCAGAAGGCUAGCCGAACAUCUUGGAUUCCACUGAGCUAAUUGACAUUGUAUAAUAAUGAAAAAAAUAAACAAAUUUCUCAAGACUCAAAAUAUCUAAGAAUGUAGGUCAAGAACAUUUAAGAGGGGGAAGAUGGGUGUAAAUAUCUGAGAACAUUCUGGGGAAAGGAGUUACAGUGAUGAACAAAGAAGACAUAUUUGAGAAGUGAAGAAUACAGACAAGAAUAAGAAAGAGCCUACUGCUGAGUUAAAACACCUCUUCAUAAUUACUUCCAAGGUACCCAAUCUCCUAUUCAAAACUGUGAUACUAUUUGUCCUUAAGGCUUGAUUAAAUUUUUAGUCAAUGUUUCUCAUCAUCCUGUUUCUGCCGAGGGUAAGGAAAAAUAUUUAUUAUUUUAUUGUUUCAAAUGCAUCAAUAUGUUGUGUUCCUCUAGUCAAAUAAUAGAAAGUGUUUAGUAACAGUACAAUAUUAUGCAAAGGUCUCUGGUUAAAGUAAGACCUUGGCUCAAAAAUGCUCACUAACUGCCCAAUACUGAGUAAAUCACUUCUUUUUCCUAAGUCUUAGUUUCCUCAUCAGUACAGGGAUGGUUAACAUAGGUUGAGUUUCUUUUCCAUAAUAUAAUUUAUUUUGAGUGCAAAAUUACAUACGUAAGUAGUUAAUAUGUAGCAGUUGUUUUAAAACUACUGUAUUUAAUUUUGGCUAAAAUCAGAAAUCAUUUGAGGUAAUCAUUAAUUUUUGCAAAUGAAGCUGCUAAAGCAC